rnacentral:lncRNA from 1 species
AUGGCGGCGGUGGCGCCUGGAAGCGGGGCUUCCCGGGAGGAGGAGGGCACCGGUGGGGACGCAGCCACGCCGCAGCCCCCAGCCCCGACGAGUGCGCCCGGAGCUCGUCUCUCGAGGCUGCCUCUGGCGCGAGUGAAGGCCUUGGUGAAGGCGGACCCCGACGUGACUCUCGCGGGACAGGAAGCCAUCUUCAUUCUGGCACGCGCCGCGGUGCGGCUGGGGCACAAUGGGGCGGGGAUGGGGCGGGGAUGGGGCGGUGCACGGUGCGUGGCGACGGGCGGGGCUCGGGGCUUCUCCGAAGGGCGGGGCUUAGCGAUCCUUUGGUCCUGGCUUGGGGAGCGUCGGGAGCGUAGGGCGGGGUGUUCUGAGGCCCGGGAGGUGAGAAAAAUGCUAGGGCGGAUUCUGAGAUGGAACUGUUUGUGGAAACCAUUGCAAAAGAUGCCUACUGUUGUGCUCAACAAGGGAAGAGGAAAACUCUUCAGAGGAGAGAUUUGGGUAGAGUGUCACUGUGGUAUCUUGGAUCUGGAGGCAGACAAGGGAGGCCUGGGCUGGGCCCGUCGAGGCUUUCCCUUAUGCCAGUCGAGAUGGCAUCACUAUAGGAUGAGAGAUAAUGCAAUAGAAGCUGUGGAUGAAUUUGCUUUUCUGGAAGGUACUUUGGAUUGAUUGCUGAGCUGGGCAGUUUGGUGAGCCUGGACCUGCAUCCUUCAGCUAGACCCUCUGCAGGCCUCAGCUUUGAAGAAGAGUCUUUAACAUGUUGAACUUCUGCAUUUUUUCUGUUCUACGUUCACCUAAGCCUGAACAAGCCUGUUAGCUUUAAUCUACAAGGUCUUCCACUACUUGGGUCUUCCAUUUCUGGCCUGGAUGCAGCUGCUUAUGGUAGAAAUAUAGAAAAUGGUGUGUGUAGGUUGGUUAAUAAAUGAUAAGGAUCAAAUAAAGGUUUCUGAUCAACUUU